rfam:Prevotella tannerae ATCC 51259 genomic scaffold Scfld0, whole genome shotgun sequence.
AAGUCGUGGGGCAGCGGAUACUUAGCUUGCUAAGUAUGCCGGCGACCGGCGCACGGGUGAGUAACGCGUACCGAACCUGCCCAUCACACAGGGAUAGGCUUGCGAAAGCAAGAUUAAUAUCUGAUGGUCUCAAUUUUAUGCAUGUAUGAUUGAGUAAAGCCUUCGGGCGGUGAUGGAUGGCGGUGCGUCCCAUUAGGAAGUUGGCGGGGUAACGGCCCACCAAUCCUUCGAUGGGUAGGGGUUCUGAGAGGAAGGUCCCCCACAUUGGNN